UUAUCCUACGGGAGGCAGCAGUGGGGAAUAUUGCACAAUGGGGGAAACCCUGAGCAGCGACGCCGCGUGCAGGAGAAGGUCUUCGGAUGGAAACUCCUGUUGGAGAGGAAGAUAAUGACGGUACUCAACAAGGAAGUGACCUCUAACUACGUGCCAGCAGCCGCGGUAAAACGUAGGUCACAAGCGUUGUCCGGAAUUACUGGGUGUAAAGGGAGCGCAGGCGGGAAGACAAGUUGGAAGUGAAAUCCAUGGGCUCAACCCAUAAACUGCUUUCAAAACUGUUUUUCUUGAGUAGUGCACAGGUAGGCGGAAUUCCCGGUGUAGCGGUGGAAUGCGUAGAUAUCGGGAGGAACACCAGUGGCGAAGGCGGCCUACUGGGCACCAACUGACGCUGAGGCUCGAAAGUGUGGGUAGCAAACAGGAUUAGAUACCCUGGUAGUCCACACCGUAAACGAUGAUUACUAGGUGUUGGAGGAUUGACCCCUUCAGUGCCGCAGUUAACACAAUAAGUAAUCCACCUGGGGAGUACGACCGCAAGGUUGA
rnacentral:rRNA from 1 species